UCAUCAGGAUGUGAGCUCUGUGACUUUCCUGAUUCAGCCACAUCAGCAUAAGGUUCUUUUUCGGAGUCUCUGACCUUUCCUGAAUCAUCCAUGUCAGCAUAAGCUUACUUCCUUGAGGUUGGUGUGGAAAGGGGAUAUAAGAAGGAACCAAAGAUUAUAAAGGAAGGCAGAAGAACGUGCCACUAAUAAAGAGCAUAUUGAUUUCAUCUCUUCUGGCUUGUGACUCUCUUUGGUGAACAUGGCUGGCUCAUAUCCAAAUGCACACUGAAGCUUGAGAGAAGGAGGAAAUAAAGUCGUCCUUGGAGAAGGGUGGGAGAAGAAGAGGCUGAAGAUGUCUAUUCUAUCUUCUUUCAAGCUAUACAAUGACACCUUCAUGUUAUGUUACAUGUGGGAAAAAGUAUGUAAUUUAUUGUUUUGUUGAAUAUUUUAGAUUUAAGCAACAGAGAAUGAUGGAGAAAAUGUGAAAGAUGCAGAUUAAACUAAAAGUAUUGGUUGUACCUUAUGUUUUCUCUAGUUGUUAAGCAUUUACCAACACCUCUCCAGCCAGUCUUGCCAUCUCAGUUUGAAAACUUCUUCUGUGAUCUUUUAGCUGAUUUCAUUUUUUGGUGUCUUCAUGUAGUUUUUAGUUUGCCUAGUCUCCAGUGCCACUCUCUCUGGUGGUAGUAAUUUCUAUGCUUCUUUGGUUCAACUCCCUUGGCACAAACCCUAAGCUCACAAUAUUUACCUGUGGCUCCAAAAAAGCUGUAGCAUGCACAAAUGGUCACAUAAUAGUAAAACUACCUCAGCAGAUUGCCCAAACUGGGUUGAAGAUAACUAACAAGCCUCAAGUCCAUUUCUACCCCAAGCAUGUGAAAAUCUCUCCUAACAAUGAAUGGAUGAGAACAGUUUUUUCCAAUGGCCAUGAAGGCAGUUGAAGCAGGUACUGAGAGUGCUUAGAGCUGGGUCAGACAUUAAAGAUAACAAGGUAUUCUACUGAAUCCCAUAUCAUCACCAGUUAUCUUUUUUUGGAAGUUAUUUAAUAAAUGUCUAUUGAAUUGAA